GCAGUCGAACGGGGUAGCAUACCUAGUGGCGAACGGUCGCGUAACACGUGGGCAACUGCCCUGAAGCGGGGGACAACAACUCGAAAGAGUUGCUAAUACCGCAUGUGGAUCGCUCUGGCAUCAGAGAUUAUCCAAAGCCUUCGGGCACUUCAGUGAUGGGCCCGCGGCCUAUCAGCUUGUUGGUGAGGUAACGGCCCACCAAGGCUUCGACGGGUAGCUGGUCUGAGAGGACGAUCAGCCGGAUUGGGACUGAGAUACGGCCCAGACUCCUACGGGGGGCAGCAAUUAGGAAUCUUGCACAAUGGGCGAAAGCCUGAUGCAGCGACGUCGCGUGAGGGAUGAAGUCUUUCGGGACGUAAACCUCUUUUAUCGGGGAAGAAACAAAUGACGGUACCCGGUGAAUAAGCCCCGGCUAACUACGUGCCAGCAGCCGCGGUAAUACGUAGGGGGCCAGCGUUGUCCGAAGUUACUGGGCGUAAAGAGCGCGUAGGCGGGUUUUUAAGUGAGGGGUGAAAGGUUCAGGGCUCAACCCGGACACUGCCUUUCAUACUGGGAACCUUGAGUAUGGGAGAGGCGAGUGGAAUUCUUGGUGUAGCGGUGAAAUGCGUAGAUUCAAGAGGAACACCCAUGGCGAAGGCAGCUCGCUGGCCUAUUAACUUGACGCUGAGGCGCGAAAAGCUGGGGGAGCAAACAGGAUUAGAUUACCCCUGGGUAGUCCCUAGGCCCUUAAAACCAUUCAGGACUUGGGGGUUUGGCCCUGUUACGGGGGGCAAGUUCCCGUAAGCUUAACGGCGGUUAAAGUCCCUUGGGCCUUGUGGGAGAUUACACGGUCGCCAAAGGUUGGAAAUUCCCAAGGGAUUUGGAACGGGGGGCCCC
rnacentral:rRNA from 1 species